UUCCCGGGCCUUGUACACACCGCCCGUCACACCACGAAAGUUGGCAAUACCCGAAGCCGGUGGCCCAACCCGCAAGGGAGGGAGCCGUCGAAGGUAGGGUCGAUGAUUGGGGUG
rnacentral:rRNA from 1 species